rnacentral:rRNA from 1 species
AUUGAACGCUGGCGGCAUGCCUUACACAUGCAAGUCGAACGGCAGCGGGGACUUCGGUCCGCCGGCGAGUGGCGAACGGGUGAGUAACGUAUCGGAACGUACCUUUCAGUGGGGGAUAACGUAGCGAAAGUUACGCUAAUACCGCAUAUUCUGUGAGCAGGAAAGCAGGGGAUCGCAAGACCUUGCGCUGAUUGAGCGGCCGAUAUCAGAUUAGCUAGUUGGUGAGGUAAAGGCUCACCAAGGCGACGAUCUGUAGCGGGUCUGAGAGGAUGAUCCGCCACACUGGAACUGAGACACGGUCCAGACUCCUACGGGAGGCAGCAGUGGGGAAUUUUGGACAAUGGGGGCAACCCUGAUCCAGCCAUGCCGCGUGAGUGAAGAAGGCCUUCGGGUUGUAAAGCUCUUUCGGCCGGGAAGAAAUCGUAUGGGUUAAUACCCUGUGCGGAUGACGGUACCGGCAUAAGAAGCACCGGCUAACUACGUGCCAGCCGCCGCAGUAACAC